UGGGGAAUCUUGCGCAAUGGACGAAAGUCUGACGCAGCGACGCCGCGUGGGCGACGAAGGCCUUCGGGUUGUAAAGCCCUGUGGGGAGGGACGAACACUCUUACGGUGAACAAUCGUGGGAGCUGACGGUACCUCCUUAGCAAGCACCGGCUAACUCUGUGCCAGCAGCCGCGGUAAGACCGAGGGUGCAAACGUUGCUCGGAAUUACUGGGCGUAAAGCGCGUGUAGGCGGUUUCGCACGUCCGGUGUGAAAGCCCAGGGCUCAACCCUGGAAGUGCACUGGAUACGACGGAGCUGGAGUACUGAAGAGGAGAGCGGAAUUCCCGGUGUAGAGGUGAAAUUCGUAGAUAUCGGGAGGAACACCAGUGGCGAAGGCGGCUCUCUGGGCAGAUACUGACGCUGAGACGCGAAAGCAUGGGGAGCAAAC
rnacentral:rRNA from 1 species